rnacentral:rRNA from 1 species
AAUAGUUAAAACUUUCAACAACGGAUCUCUUGGUUCUGGCAUCGAUGAAGAACGCAGCGAAAUGCGAUAAGUAAUGUGAAUUGCAGAAUUCAGUGAAUCAUCGAAUCUUUGAACGCACAUUGCGCCCCUUGGUAUUCCGAGGGGCAUGCCUGUUCGAGCGUCAUU